rnacentral:rRNA from 1 species
UUGAAAUCUGGUAGCCUUCGGUUGCCCGAGUUGUAAUCUAGAGAAAUGUUUUCCGUGCCGGCCCAUGUACAAGUCCCUUGGAACAGGGCGUCAUAGAGGGUGAGAAUCCCGUCCUUGACAUGGACCCCCGGUGCUUUGUGAUACAUUUUCAACGAGUCGAGUUGUUUGGGAAUGCAGCUCAAAAUGGGUGGUGAAUUCCAUCUAAAGCUAAAUAUUGGCGAGAGACCGAUAGCGAACAAGUACCGUGAGGGAAAGAUGAAAAGCACUUUGGAAAGAGAGUUAAACAGUACGUGAAAUUGUUGAAAGGGAAACGAUUGAAGUCAGUCAUGCUCUUUGGUAUUUAUAUCAUUGAGUGGGGUCAACAUCAGUUUUGAUCGAUGGAUAAAGGCACUAGGAAGGUAGCACUCUCGGGUGAACUUAUAGCCUAGCGUCAUAUACAUUGAUUGGGACUGAGGAACGCAGCAUGCCUUUAUGGCCGGGAUUCGUCCACGUACAUGCUUAGGAUGUUGACAUAAUGGCUUUAAAC